CCGCACAUUUCCCAAGAGACUUAUCUAUAAAUUAGGCUCUUCCUUAAAAAAGAGUCUCCAAUUUUUAGAGUUGUCUCUCUCUCUCUCUCUCUGUUGCUCACUCUUCCAGAUUUUAGUACCUUCUGAAAGCUUCUAAAAAAUAAGAGAAAAUGACCAAGUUUUGGACUUUGGUCACUGCUCUUCAUACAGGCGCUGGGCCUGUGGUGAUGUUGGUGUAUCCAUUGUACGCAUCGGUGGUAGCGAUGGAGACCGCAACUAAAGUUGACGACGAACAGUGGCUAUCCUACUGGAUCAUAUACUCGUUCCUCACCCUCACAGAGCUGAUUUUGCAAUCUCUCCUUGAGUGGAUUCCUAUUUGGUACUCGGUCAAGCUUGUGUUCGUCGCUUGGUUGGUUCUGCCUCAGUUCCAUGGCGCAGCGUUCAUCUACAACCGUUUGGUUAGAGAACAGUUCAAGAAACACGGUGUCUUCCCUCACCAACAGUCCAAGCCCAAGAUCCUCCACUCCAUUUUCCCCCACCGGGUAAUAUAUUUUUUUUUUUUCGGGGUAAUAAAUCUUGCUUUUUGUUUCGUAUAAUUUAAAUUCUUAAUCUUGAAAAAGUAAAACAAACAUAAAAGAGCAUCAUAAAUUUAGAACUCAAAAAUAGAUUAUCCUAGGAAAAUUAAGGCUGCCUAAUUUUCUAAUUUACCGAGCAGUAGCGUUAUAACAAGUGGAUUUAGUAUUUACUGGUGACCUAGUUUGUUUUUGAAUUUUAUUAAUUGGUUUAAAAAUGUGUAUAUAGGAGGGACACGAGGCUCACUCUCACUGACGCAAGAACAAAAAAAAAUUAAAGAAAAGAGGAGUGAGUAGACACAAGAAGCUUCUUUAGCUAGUAUUGUAAUGGAGUUGGUGGUGGUCCCGUCUUGUCUAAUCUUACGUUUAGAUUUUUGUUUAUACAAAAAAGAAUGGGAUUGGGGAAGGAUAUGACCAUAUGACGAUGACUGACGAGUUGUGUGAUCGUUUUAAAUUAGAUGUGACUUCUUGUUGUUGUAUGGCUUUAGCUUUCACGCGUAAUUUCCAUUUGGGAACACAAGUGUUACGCUAUUGUUGUUCAAAUCGUUUUCAAACUUUGUGAG